CAGCCGCCGCGGUAAUACCGGCGGCCCGAGUGGCGGUCACUAUUAUUGGGCUUAAAGCGUCCGUAGCCGGGUUGGGAAGGCCUCCGGGAAAUCUGGCCGCUUAAAGGUCAGAAUGCCGGAGGAUACUCCCAGCCUAGGGAGCGGGAGAGGCCGAGGGGAUUCCCGGGGUAGGGGUGAAAUCCUAUAAUCCCGGGAGGACCACCUGUGGCGAAGGCGCUCGGCUGGAACGCGUCCGACGGUGAGGGACGAAGGCCAGGGGAGCAAACCGGAUUAGAUACCCGGGUAGUCCUGGCUGUAAACGAUGCGGACUUUGUGUCGGACAAGCUAUGAGCUUGUCCGGUGCCGGAGGGAAACCGUUAAGUCCGCCGCCUGGGGAGUACGGCCGCAAGGCUGAAACUUAAAGGAAUUGGCGGG
rnacentral:rRNA from 1 species